AGAAGCAGUGCGUAUGAAAUAAGUGUCGUGUGCAUACACAAGCCACGCCCACUUGGUUGCUGCAACGCAGUUGUUUUGUGAAUUAAUUUGAAUUUGAACAAGAUAAUUUUUAAGGACAACAGCUGGCAAGGAUGGAUAUAUCUGGCAUGAGUCCAACUCGUAGUUUCAACAACCCUGACUCUGCAAGAGGGGAGGACUACCACCCGCAAGAUGGGCCUAUUAAGAUCCAGAAUCCUCACAUAGCGACCAUGGAAGAAGACUAUCUCUACCAUAUUGCUCUUGGUGACAAGACACAUGACCUUCAUGAGAUGUUCAAUGAUGUCAAGUUUGUAUGCUUUGGAGGCUCACCGACCAGAAUGCUGAAGUUUGCAGAAUUUAUGAAGGAGCAGCUUCGUAUCAAAAUACCUGCCGGGAUGACACUAUACAACAUCGCCAAUGGGUCUGACAGAUAUGUCAUCUACAAGACAGGGCCAGUGUUGUCUGUUAGUCAUGGUAUAGGCAUCCCGUCGCUCUCCAUCAUCAUGCAUGAGAUACUGAAGCUGCUGCAGCAUGCUGAGUGUUCCGGGGUGACGCUGUUCCGCAUCGGCACCAGCGGAGGGCUCGGUCUGGAAGCAGGGUCCGUUGUGAUCACUAGUGAGGCUGUCGAUGGCAACCUCAGGCAAUACAUGGAGGUGGCAAUCAUGGGCAUGGUGGUUAAGCUUCCUUCCUUCCUGGACAAGGAACUGUGUCAGGAGCUGCUGGCCAUGGCGUCGGAGGACGACCAUUUCCAGACCAUCAUCGGAAAGACCAUGUGCACGCAUGACUUCUAUGAAGGUCAAGCUCGUCUGGACGGAGCGUUCUGUGACUACACCCAGGCAGACAAGAUGGCGUUCCUCAGACGUAUCCAUGACAAGGGUAUCCGCAAUAUUGAGAUGGAGUCGCUCUGCUUUGCUGCCUACUGCCACAGGGCAAACAUAAGAGGUGCUGUGAUUUGUGUGACACUGCUGGACAGCCUGAACGGAGACCAGAUCACCACGCCCCACAACGUCAUGGAGGAAUGGAACAACCGGCCCCAGCAGGUUGUAGCCAGACUCAUCAAGAAGAAACUUGGCAUCAGUGAUGAGUGACACUCUAUAAGACCAAGUUACUAUUUAGUGUUGGAUAAUUCUCCUCUACAGGGAGAGGAGGUGCUUUUCAGAUCAGGGCCUCGAUCCACAAAGCGAUCAUAGCACUAGCACUCCCCUGCUUACAACAGUAGUAGCACUAAUCUCGCUUUGUGGAAGAACAUAAUUUCCAAUCUUGCCUCAAAGUGGUUGAAGCAUGGGAUAAAUAAACUUUUUGGUGAAGUUCAGGGAGACCGAUGAACACAAUUCUUUAACAAUCCAUUACUUGGAGAGAUAUAAACAUUUUUAAUGAAACUAUAAUAAUAAUAAUAAUUCAGCUCCCAUCAUCUCCCUUUUGAAAAUGUCUGAAAAUAACGGUUAUUUUUGUGUGUCUCAUUACAUGCCACAUUUCCGGUGCAUUAUUACUUGUAUUUGCCUGUGUGUAAGGAAUGCUUUAUACUAUAUGUAGUAUUAUAUAUGUGUAGUUGUGAUUCGUCACAAUCCACGAUUGUUGGCCGGAAACACGAUAAUAUUUUUCGGAGUAUUUUUAGAAAAUCUUUGAUUAUAUUUUUACAUGGAAGAUGAUUUUUUCCGAGGACUACUGAUUUUAAAAAUGUGAUUUUCACAUCCCUGAUACAUGUGCAAUGACCACAUACUGUUGGCUUUUCCUAUUCCUAUUCAAUUUGCUUAGUCUCAAACACAUCGUGUUUGCUUCCCGCCAAAACUCUAUCUGAAAGUGUAACAGGUUUGUUUCAGGUUCAGUAUUGUAAUUACAAGGGUAUUAUUCACUCCAGGCUUUGCUAAAAACCACUCUAUAAUUUGCAUCAUAACCUUCUGAAACUAGCUCUCUGCUGCUGUAUUACAGUCUGUACAAAAGCUAGGGAUGUUUAUCUUCAUUUAUCCAGUAUAUUAUAUCGCCUAUUAUGAUAAAUACCCUGGACCCAUACACUUCCAUGGCUUUGAUUUGAGCUUGAUUUGAAUGGUGUGCCUCUAAAAAAAAACCAUCAAAUAAAAUAUCUCUCUUAA
rnacentral:misc_RNA from 1 species